AUUGAACGCUAGCGGGAUGCCUUACACAUGCAAGUCGAACGGAGUGGCGAACGGGUAAGUAAUGUAUCUGAACGUGCCCAGUAGCGGGGGAUAAGUACACGAAAGCGUAGCUAAUACCGCAUACUAUUGGAGCGGCCGGUAUCGGAUUAGCUAGUGGGGGGGGUAGGGGCUAACCAAGGCGACGAUCCGGAGCUGGUUUGGGAGUACGACCAGCCACACUGGGACUGAGACACGGACCAGACUCCUACGGGAGGCAGCAGUGGGGAAUUUUGGACAAUGGGGGAAACCCUGAUCCAGCCAUCCCGCGUGUGCGAUGAAGGCCUUCGGGUUGUAAAGCACUUUUGGCAGGAAAGCGGUACCUGCAGAAUAAGCACCGGCUAACUACGUGCCAGCAGCCGCGGUAAUUC
rnacentral:rRNA from 1 species